UACGUAGGGGGCAAGCGUUAUCCGGAUUUACUGGGUGUAAAGGGAGCGUAGGCGGUGCAGCAAGUCAGAAGUGAAAGCCCGGGGCUCAACUCCGGGACUGCUUUUGAAACUGUUGAACUAGAUUGCAGGAGAGGUAAGUGGAACUCCUAGUGUAGCGGUGAAAUGCGUAGAUAUUAGGAGGAACACCAGUGGCGAAGGCGGCUUACUGGACUGUAAAUGACGCUGAGGCUCGAAAGCGUGGGGAGCAAACAGG
rnacentral:rRNA from 1 species